UCCGGUCUUCUGUCACGGUGUUGUGCGGGAGAGAAGCACAUUAACGAAGAAGAUGAUUAUGAUGCAACGUAAUCCACAUAGGGGUAAUCCACUGAGAGAAGGCAGAAACACACUUACACAUCGAUGAGACCAGACAACCAAACACUGAACAGAAUUCAACUUAUAAGGGGAACGUUAAUGAGGGUAACUGACAAGACACACCUGAACAUAAUGACACAAUCAACAUGAGACAGAAACUAGGUCACACAGAGAACAUGAGGAAUGAAAACAGUCCUGGGGUGUGACAGUCAGGCAGCAACACCACCAAAUAAUGUUUCAGAUGGAACUAUAUAAGGUGUCCACAAGCAAAAUCCUUUAACUCAUUCUUCAGUGUUCUCAUUAAACCCUUAAAACUUUCUGUUAAUAUGAGUGGUGCUUCUCUUUACACCUUUUACCUGGAAAUAAUGCAAACUUCAAAUCAGAGCAUGGGUUGCUACAUGAAUUUGUUUAUACUAAAUACCAAAUGCCUUUCUUCUUUGUCCUAUUAACUUUGUAGUAAAGCUCACAUUAUACAGCCAUCAAAAAUGAAAAGUUUAGAAAGAACAUUUAUGCUUUGAUGCCUUCAUCAGCCUUCUAUUGAUUCACUUCAUAUUAAAAGAAAAAGGAAAAACAGUUGUUUUAAAUGAGUAAUGAACACAGCGACUAAAUGAGUUAUCAUAACUUUAAGCCAAUUGCGUCUGAGACAAAAUUAAAGACAGCCAUGUUUUCUGCUUUACAGAAAAGUAUGUGUCAUGCUUGAAAGAUAUUAAUUAUAAACAGUAUUGGACUAUGCUGUACACCUGCUGUGUUGGAUAACCUGCUAACAAAUAUGAAGUUUGUGGUGCAUGGCAUGGGAAUACUGGGCAUAAAUCUGUCAAACAAGAAGAACAAGGCCCAUGCACAUGCCAUCAGUCUGUGUAAGGAUCUGGGCACCAGGGCGGCAGUGGCCAGAGGUCACGAGUUCCAGCUCAAUGAUCCUGCACUAUAGUCCUGACCGAAAUGUGAGUUGUGCUGCUCAGUAUGUGACUGAUCAGUUUGUGGCAUGCGCUACCACCUCAGGCAAGAUGGUGUACUCUCACUUCACCAAUGCCACAGACUCCUCCAGUGUAUGUAACGCCUUCCAGCUCACCAUGAGCUCUAGUGUUAAAUACAACCUUCAAACAGUAUCACUUCUCUAAUUAAUUUUUUAUAUUCCCAUUUUAAUUUUUUUCUGCUGUUUCUGUGUCCAUUGUUAACAGAAUUGCUUAUUUUUAAUGGAUAAUGAAAACUAUAUAUAAGUGCAAUAUAUAUAUUUGUAAUAUUUUAAUUAUGGGCAUCUUUGAUUUGUUACCUGCUUAGUUAAUUGACUUAAUUGUGGGAUCAUUAAAGAGCUGUAAAUAAAUGGACAUAUUUAUAUUUAGCUGGAUGUUAU
ensembl:lncRNA